rnacentral:rRNA from 1 species
GAUUAACGCUAGCGGCAGGCCUAAUACAUGCAAGUCGUACGGUAACAGGUGAAGCAAUACAUGCUGACGAGUGGCGCACGGGUGCGUAACACGUAUGCAAUCUGCCUUUAACUGGGGAACAACCCCUCGAAAGAGGGGCUAAUACCGCAUAACAUCACCGGACGGCAUCGCCUGGUGAGCAAACCUACGGGGGUUAAAGAUGAACAUGCGACUGAUUAGUUAGUUGGCGGGGUAACGGCCCACCAAGACAGCGAUCAGUAGGGGAUCUGAGAGGAUGAUCCCCCACACGGGUACUGAGACACGGACCCGACUCCUACGGGAGGCAGCAGUAAGGAAUAUUGGACAAUGGAGGCAACUCUGAUCCAGCCAUGCCGCGUGAAGGAUGAAUGCGCUAUGCGUUGUAAACUUCUUUUAUACGGGAAAAAUAUCCGCUAUUCUUAGCGGAUUGAUUGUACUGUAAGAAUAAGGGUCGGCUAACUUCGUGCCAGCAGCCGCCGUAAUAC